UACGGAGGGGGCUAGCGUUGUUCGGAAUUACUGGGCGUAAAGCGCACGUAGGCGGACCAGUUAGUUGGGGGUGAAAUCCCGGGGCUCAACCCCGGAACUGCCUCCAAAACUGCUGGUCUGGAGGUCGAGAGAGGUGAGUGGAAUUCCGAGUGUAGAGGUGAAAUUCGUAGAUAUUCGCAAGAACACCAGUGGCGAAGGCGGCUCACUGGCCCGAUACUGACGCUGAGGUGCGAAAGCGUGGGGAGCAAACAGG
rnacentral:rRNA from 1 species